rnacentral:lncRNA from 1 species
UUUAGUCUUAAUUUUAGGACCCCACAAAAGCCAGCCAGCAAUUUUCAUCCAUCCAGCGUGGAAGAGAAGACUUUCAUCCAUGAGGUGUUCAAGUGGAAGUGCGGAGCAAUGGAUGCCCCAAUGUGCAGUUGAUGCCCUCUUAACCCAAUGGAAGACGCGACACCGGGGGGCAUCCACUGCUCUUAAGAAAUAAUAGCACCAAACCCAAAAUGGGUUUGAGUUUGCACCCAUCCACCCUCUCACCCAUCCACUUCUCUUCCUCUAUCUACAGUUCUAGGAGCCCUGUGUAGCCCUCAUUAUAUAGAUACGACGUGAUACUCAUCCUGCACCACAUCCCUCUGAGGCCCUGUACCCCACAGGGCGCCUGGCAUGGAGCUGAGCUUGGGUCUCUGCGCACACCGUGGAGCAGGGAGGAGGUGACGUUAAAGCCCUCAGCCAGCUCGGCUCACGCAUGGGGCCCACCAUGGAGAGCCGGAGGAGAGCAGGAUCUAUAGGGUCAGCGAGGUGACAGCAGAGUGAAAUGUGGGGAUUUGUGGUUUGCUGAGCUCAGCUUUGUGUUUCUGGGUCAUAAAUCCCUUCUGAAGGUUCCAGGCUCCCUCUUGGGGGUGGGUUGGCUUCCUUGCCCGUUGCUUCUGGUGGCUACUGAGGGUGUGAUAGGUCCAGACGCCGCUCCUGGCUGGAUCCACAACCAGCUCAGCUCCUGAUUUCCAGGGAAAACCAUCUUCUAUUAGUAGUGGGAGUGGGCAUCCCCACCAUGCCCACUCAUUGAGUCAUGGAGCCAUUAAGGUUGGAAAAGACCUCCGAGACCAACGAUCCAACCCCAACCCAACCUCACCAUUCCCACUAACCUCGUCCCCCAGUGCCACAUCUCCCCGAUUCCUGAACACCUUCGACGUUGGCUCAAGGAAGGUACAAAUUUGCAGCAGAAAACCUCAACUCGGUCUGCCCACGCAGACAUGCCCAAACCCAGCGGCCCUCCCAGCAAAACCCCUCCCAUCCCCUUGGCUUCCCAAUGACCCCCACCAAAAUUCUGCCUUUUCAUGUGCACCAUGCGGAUGUUUUUCUCUACUUUGAGGAGUUUUCACGUCCUUCCACAAGUUCUCAGUUUUACAGAUGCCCCAAUUUCUUUUUAAAAAAGAAGAAGAAGAAGAAGAAGAAGAAGAAAAAAGAAGGGGAGGGGAUAUGCUGGGAGAGGAGCAGCCGAUGGGAUGGAGCCCAAUGGCUUUGCUUGGUAGGGCUCAACGCGCCGCUCACACGCGAGCGUUGUCAAAGAAAGCAGCCAAUAUCAGCUGUUCCUAAUGCGAGAAGACAAUAGAUCAGAGGGGCCUGGGAAAGCAAGAGAAAACAAAGAGCAAGAGAAAAAUCCCCCCAGGGAGGGGAGAAUUGAGGCAGAUCCCAGCUCCUCUGAUCCCGCGCUUGGAGGAGCUGGCUGAGCUCCGCAGGAACGGGAUGGCGGCCAAUUGACACCAGCUGGGGCACGGGCCUGUGCCUGCCUUUUGUUCAUUAAUUUAUUUUUUAAUUAAUGGUUGUGGUGGUUUUUUUUUUGUUUUUUUUUCCCCCCCCACAAAAUAAGCUUAAUUCUGUUUCGAUCUCCUGCAGAGCUCGGGGUCGGCGCUGAUAUCCCCGAGCAAAUGGGUAUCGAUGCGCUUUGAUCAAUGGGGACAACCAAACGAUGAGCCCUGAGCUGCUCAAUGGGGGGGGGGUUCACCCACAGUUGGAUGCUUUUUGGGGAGGGUGUUUUCCCCUCCAACGUUUCAAUCUGUCCUCUCAGUGCGCGUUGCUGGAAGAGCCCUGGUAUGAACUGCUCAUGGGAAGGUCACGCAUUGCCAAACCAGUUUCGAGAACUUUGGUUUCCUUUCCAG